CUUUUGAAUGCAGCGCCGGCACACUUGAGGGGGAAACCGACCCGCGGGCGGAAGACAGCGGCCGCCGGCGGAAGGCCUGGGCAGGAGACGUUGAGGAGGGGGCGCGGAGGUCUCGGGGGCUGCCGACGAACCCCGCUGGGGGUGUCCGCAGCAGAUGGGCCCAGGAGCGUCCGGACGACCUUCCAACGCCCAGAGGAGCGAACCGAGGACGGCUGGGUAGAACUCGCACCUGAGCUGGCCCCACCCCAACUGCCGAGGAGCCAACAGAAAUUGGAAGUUUGAAACAACUGUGGGAAACUCAGUGGUGUGACACAGAGAUACAGUGCUGGUAUGCAGACCUAUGUUUAUAAAUUCUAGGACUCCCGGUACAGAGACAGUGGAGUGUAACAGUGUAAAUGGGAUGCAUUUGGCUUUCAAGGUCCCUAGCUUGGAGUCCAGUGGAGAUGGAAAACAAAAGCUCCCCUACCAGUUGGUAACCUGGCUGGAAGAUUUGUUACUCAAAGGUGGAAUGCUACCAUUGGAAUAACUAGGAUGAGGAAAAGCUGAUGAAUUAACCAGCUUCUUGCUCCUUCCUUCUCUUGUCUCAGGCUACACCUCAGCUGCAAGCUUCUUUUGAAAGAAGUUUUUUUUGGAAGCGAUCUUCCAAAAAAACUUCUUUCAAAAGUGUCCACACUCAAAAAGCACAUCGAAAAAGUGAUCUCCUUUUUCAAAAGUGGAUCCAGACUGAUUGGAUGCUCUCUCACAUAAAAGGCCACCUGGAAUCACUUCAGGCAGGACUUUAGGUCACCAAUUGCUUCCGAGUGCUGGUGCCAGAGUCUUGCAGAGACACACACUUAAAGGGACCUCCCUGGACAGCCAUUUCUGUGAUUCUGCUGAGUGCUUGCCUACCUCUUUGAGGGACAGCAAAGCUCUCACAGUGCGUGCUGUGGUUGCCCCUCUUUUUUGGAUGCCACAACUUUUCUCUUGGUUCCAUGGAGCCAGAGCUGCCCCUGGACAUGCAAUGGCCCCACAUGGCCAUUUUGCAGUUACUGCAGAACUUUGUGCUACCUUCCUGUCCUGACUGAGCUCAACCCCAAGCUCAUUCUUGGAAUUGUAAGGCAGAAGUGACUAUGUUUAAGUAAAAAUCAAGUGAUUAAAUGCAAAUGUAAGCUAUUUUAAUGUAAAUUCACUUUGUGAAUAUUUGUACAGUGUAUAGGACUGGUGUUAUGUGAAUCAAUACACUCCUUAAUAUGUAUAAAAGUUUAAAAUAUGAUGGAGUUCUGCAAUAUCUCAAAAUGGAGUCUGAAAUUCCAUUUUGAAACCUUACAACUUUCCUUAGACAUCCAUUUGAAAUGUGAGUUCUGUCACAUCCACAGGUAACUGUUAGGGUACGUCUA